rnacentral:rRNA from 1 species
UACGAAGGGGGCUAGCGUUGCUCGGAAUCACUGGGCGUAAAGGGUGCGUAGGCGGGUCUUUAAGUCAGGGGUGAAAUCCUGGAGCUCAACUCCAGAACUGCCUUUGAUACUGAGGAUCUUGAGUUCGGGAGAGGUGAGUGGAACUGCGAGUGUAGAGGUGAAAUUCGUAGAUAUUCGCAAGAACACCAGUGGCGAAGGCGGCUCACUGGCCCGGUACUGACGCUGAGAUACGAAAGCGUGGGGAGCAAACAGG